UUGCUUAUUUCUUCUGUCGCCUUUACUCUUUUUACUAGGGGAUUCCAUGGUGACAUAUUUAACUGUUUUCUUAAAUGUUUAACCUUAUUGAGAUAUUGAUGUUGUCGCAGAUGAAUGUAUUAGCAAAGAUGGCAUUCAUUAAAACUGACAGGACAAUAUUCAGUCUGUGAAGAAUGCAUGACAAAGUUGCUAAAAAGAAAGUGUAUGUAUACACGACUUUAUGUUUACUUAUAUAUAUGUUAACUAGAUUCAUGAAAACAUUGUACUCUUGUCUUGACAUUUAAGCCUGAUCACCACAACUCAGCCCAUUCAAACAAGAGAGAGUAGUCAAAGAACUGCAUCAGACUUAGCACUUUGAUGCUGUAAGGAAAAAUAUUCAGUAGAAAGUGUUUUUUUCCCUGAUAUUCUUCUUUGUACUACUUUACACAAUGGAGAAAAAUGUUUAGAGGCAAUAGAAUGUUAUGAGUUAAUUUAAGUACUAAUUCUCACAACGGUUGUGGUUCUGCCCCUGAGGGACAGAGGGAAGAUCGCUAAGAACAUUGCCCCUGAAUUAUAAAUACUCUUUCACUUUAAAUAUAUUUGGUAUAUACAAAGUAACAUUAUACAAAACUAAGUAGAGAGAUUACUGUAAUAAAAAUUUGUCUAUUGCACAGAGAUUCAUCUAAUUUUAUUCUUUUUUUAGCUUAAAUGACAGACAGAUUAAGAGGAGCCAAUACGAGUAUUUCACCAUCAGUCUGUUACUGUCUGAUCGGAAAAACCAGAAUUAAGUUUGCAAGUUGUGUGGUAUAAGAGACAGUCUAAAAGAAAUAUGAGCUGGCUAACCAGACGAUAGUUAUAAAGAAGACUUUUAGCUGCUCCUUUCCUCAGGAUGACCUUAUAUGAUGGCACCAGCAAGCACCUUCAUAGAGUCAAGCUGGCUACCAAUACUCUUGUCUAUUGUAUAAGAACAA